rnacentral:rRNA from 1 species
AUUGAACGCUGGCGGCAGGCUUAACACAUGCAAGUCGAGCGGAGAGAGGUAGCUUGCUACCGAUCUUAGCGGCGGACGGGUGAGUAAUGCUUAGGAAUCUGCCUAUUAGUGGGGGAUAGCCCGGCGAAAGCCGGAUUAAUACCGCAUACGACCUGAGGGUGAAAGCGGGGGACCGUAAGGCCUCGCGCUGGUGGAGCGGCCGAUGUCGGAUUAGCUAGUUGGUGGGGUAAAGGCUUACCAAGGCAACGAUCCGUAGCUGGUCUGAGAGGACGACCAGCCACACUGGGACUGAGACACGGCCCAGACUCCUACGGGAGGCAGCAGUGGGGAAUUUUGGACAAUGGGCGCAAGCCUGAUCCAGCCAUGCCGCGUGCGGGAAGAAGGCCUUCGGGUUGUAAACCGCUUUUGUCAGGGAAGAAACGGUCUGAACUAAUACUUUGGACUAAUGACGGUACCUGAAGAAUAAGCACCGGCUAACUACGUGCCAGCAGCCGCCGUAAGAC